UACGUAGGGUGCGAGCGUUGUCCGGAAUUAUUGGGCGUAAAGGGCUCGUAGGCGGUCUGUCGCGUCGGGAGUGAAAACUCGGGGCUUAACUCCGAGCCUGCUUCUGAUACGGGCAGACUGGAGGUAUGCAGGGGAGAAUGGAAUUCCUGGUGUAGCGGUGAAAUGCGCAGAUAUCAGGAGGAACACCGGUGGCGAAGGCGGUUCUCUGGGCAUGACCUGACGCUGAGGAGCGAAAGUGUGGGGAGCGAACAGG
rnacentral:rRNA from 1 species